rnacentral:rRNA from 1 species
AACGUAGGAGGCAAGCGUUAUCCGGAUUUAUUGGGCGUAAAGCGCGUGUAGGCGGCUCGGUAAGUCUGCUGUGAAAGUCCAGGGCUCAACCCUGGAAUGCCGGUGGAUACUGUCGAGCUAGAGUCCGGAAGAGGCGAGUGGAAUUCCUGGUGUAGCGGUGAAAUGCGCAGAUAUCAGGAGGAACACCAAUGGCGAAGGCAGCUCGCUGGGACGGUACUGACGCUGAGACGCGAAAGCGUGGGGAGCAAACAGG